rnacentral:rRNA from 1 species
GACGGAGGCCUCAAGCGUUAGGCGGAAUCACUGGGCUUAAAGCGUGUGUAGGCGGAUGCCUAAGUACCUUGUGAAAUCCCACGGCUCAACCGUGGAACUGCUGGGUAUACUGGGUGUCUUGGGCCAUUCAGGGGCGACUGGAACAAGCGGUGGAGCGGUGAAAUGCGUAGAUAUCGCUUGGAACGCCGAAGGUGAAAACAGGUCGCUGGGGAUGUGCCGACGCUGAGACACGAAAGCCAGGGGAGCAAACGGG